rnacentral:SRP_RNA from 1 species
GCUGGGCGUGGUGGCUCACGCCUGUAAUCCCAGCACUUUGGGAGGCCGAGGCGGGUGGAUCACCUGAGGUCAGGAGUUCGAGACCAGCCUGACCAACAUGGUGAAACUCUGUCUCUA